GGGUCGCUAGCUCAACUGGUAGAGCAAUUGCCUCUUAAGCAAUAGGUUCAGGGUUCGAGUCCCUGGCGACUCACAA
rnacentral:tRNA from 1 species